rnacentral:rRNA from 1 species
CUGGCUCAGGAUGAACGCUGGCGGCGUGCUUAACACAUGCAAGUCGAACGGAAAGGCCACAGCUUGCUGUGGUACUCGAGUGGCGAACGGGUGAGUAACACGUGGGUGAUCUGCCCUGUACUUCGGGAUAAGCUUGGGAAACUGGGUCUAAUACCGGAUAGGAAUCACAUGUGGGUGUGUGGUUGGAAAGCUUUUGCGGUAUGGGAUGAGCUCGCGGCCUAUCAGCUUGUUGGUGGGGUAAUGGCCUACCAAGGCGUCGACGGGUAGCCGGCCUGAGAGGGUGUACGGCCACAUUGGGACUGAGAUACGGCCCAGACUCCUACGGGAGGCAGCAGUGGGGAAUAUUGCACAAUGGGCGCAAGCCUGAUGCAGCGACGCCGCGUGGGGGAUGACGGCCUUCGGGUUGUAAACUCCUUUCGUCAGGGACGAAGCGAAAGUG